rnacentral:lncRNA from 1 species
GUAGGUUGUGUCCGAUUUCCUAUUUAUGUUGUGGUUUUGAUUAGUAAUGUGAACAGAAACGAUCGAAUUCCGUGGGCCUGACGUCAAUUUUGCUUCUUUGUGGUUAUUUGGUGCUUUUUGGGGUUAUCCGGGAUUUACGAAGGCUUGUAUUUACUAAUUUCUUCAAAUUUUUUUGCUAUUUGAUCUUCGCUUAAAGCAAUCGAUUAGGAAAAGAAAGAACGGAACUAUUGGGAAUAACCAUAGUAAAGCGGAUAGAUUAAUCAUAUAUUAUGUGAGUAUUUGAUCCUGACUUUGUCAUUUGAAGCAGGGGAUGAAUCUAAUAGUACAUUCAUUAGAUUUAGGACAUGUUUUUCUUAUAAAGGUAGUGUAUAAAUUGAUAGUUAUUUGUUGGAACUAAAAGUGAUGGAGCAAAAGUUACUUGGAGAGUUACAUUUUUUUGGUCAUGUUGCUUUCGAAAAAUUACGAGGACAGAAUUAUGGUUAUGGUUGAUGAGGUACUUGGAACUGUUUGACAUAUUUUGUUUGUAUAAAUGUAUGACGUGGAUGACUAUUCACAAGGCAUGGGAUUGAUGGAAAUUUGUUUAGUGAGAAGGGA